rnacentral:misc_RNA from 1 species
CGUAGGUGAACCUGCGGAAGGAUCAUUAGUGAAUUGAAUAUGCUAGCGGACCUCUUCGGAGUCCCUAGCAUCAAAUCAUAUCCAUAACACCUGUGAACUGUAAGGCUGUCUUGAAAACGAAAGUGAUUAGAGCGCCUGCCCAUUUUAUACAAACAUUAAAGUAACAAACGUAGUCUUAUUAUAAUCUAAUAAAACUUUCAACAACGGAUCUCUUGGCUCUC